ensembl:snoRNA SNORA61 small nucleolar RNA, H/ACA box 61
ACCCUCUGGUUCCCUUUCCCAUCGGAUCUGAACACUGGUCUUGGUGGUCGUAAAAGGAGGAAAAGUAAUACUGAAGCUGGCCUCACAGUGUUCUAGUAUGUUAUAUAGCACAUGGGCUAGUUUCAAACAGGG